GAACGAGUUGAAGCAACAAUUUUAAAAUAUAAACACAUGAAGGGAAAAUAUUGAGCUAACACUAUCCAGGAUCGAACCCAGAAAUCAACGUUGACACACACAUAUAUAUACACAUAAUACAUAUACACACAUACACACACAUAUAUAUAAAGAGAGAGAGGGGGAGACAGAAAUAGAGAGAGAUGAGUAGAUAAAUAUAGCUAGUUGUGGCUGAGUGUACUGAAGCACCUAUAUUACAAGAAAUACGAGGUAAAAACUCUUAAUACUCUAAGAAACACGCAAUAUAUAUACACUCACCAAACACAUGGACAAGUUUAUGCUUCAUAACAUUAUCGACGAGAAUAGACAGAAAUUGAAAGAAGCCCUUCACACACACACACAUAUAGUCAAUUCACAAAAGAAAAAGAGAAAGGAGAAACAAGCAAACGUGAGGACGUGGCGCAAGAACUGUAUUAGUAGCAGGCUCAGAUACAGAAACUAAUUGUUUUACGUUUCGAAAAUAGCUCUUCUUCGGAAACAGGAAAACAUGUAAGUCAGCAGGGGAAAAAGAAAGGAGGAAGAAAAAGUUGGCAAACUCCACGUGAGGUUACAUUUCUGCAGUGACCGGAAGUAGAAGGAAUGCAGGAUGGCCGCGUGACUGAUCAGAUGCAAGCUAAGAUAACAGCACACAAUUAAGUGUAGAUUUCCAUUGUUAUAGUUCAGAGAUGGUGGCAAGCAUGAAAAGGUCAGCAUGCAACACUACGUCCGGAGACAAUAAAAAGUUGUCAUGCAAACAUGAUGACCAGAGCUUCUGUGAACGACACAAGAAGGGACCAUCUCGAUCAGCGGAGAACGUGGCAACAUUGCAGGAAAUGUUUAAUCGCAGCCUGCAAGAACCAACACGUCAGGCAGCACGUGAUAGCGGAUGAACAAGAGACACAGUACAUGCGAUGUUACAUAAAGAAAUGAAUUUUCGCCCGUGGAAACCUCAUUCUAUGCAAGAGCUGAAACCUUAAGAGAGUGACCGCAGAAUGGAAUAUGGAAUGGCUUCCAAGAAGUCCAGAUCUCCCUCCAUGAGAUUUUUACCUAUGGGGUUAUGCAAAAGUGGAGAGGCAAAACAAAAAAUCUUGCCCACUGGUGCCCUUGGAAAGAGGGAUUCAAGAGGUUCUCAGUGACAUCAAAGAGGAUGUCCUUCAGAAGGUUGUUCAUUCCAUUCCUGGGCGUUUGAAGAGGUUAGUUGACCUCACCAGUGCUUCCGUUCAAAUAUGAAGACUUACUGUCAUUUUCCCAUGUAAUACAGAACUUGCAUCAUUUGUUUCAAUAAAUUAGUAAAAGGAA